rnacentral:lncRNA from 1 species
AUUAACUCAUUAAGGCAGCAACCAUUUGAUUUUCUGGGGGGGGCUAUGGUUUUUUUUUUCUGGACAAAUUUUUUUUUUUCGCCUGCGGCGAAAAACAAUCUAUUUUUUUCGCGACAAGUCGAAAACAAUUUUUUUCUUUCAAUUUUAGCAUUACAUAUAGUGGCAGCUGAGGGUAAAACAAACAAUUUUUUUUUCUCAGAAUCAAAAAC